GUGACUAUAGCAUCAGGGUUCCACCUCUUCCCAUUCCGAACAGAGAAGUUAAGCCUGAUCACGCCGAUGGUACUGCGUAACAGUGGGAGAGUAGGUAGUCGCCGUUU
rnacentral:rRNA from 1 species